UACGAAGGGGGCUAGCGUUGUUCGGAAUCACUGGGCGUAAAGCGCACGUAGGCGGUUUGUUAAGUCGGAUGUGAAAUCCCUCGGCUCAACUGAGGAAGUGCAUCCGAAACUGGCAGGCUUGAGUACUAAAGAGGGUCGCGGAAUUCCCGGUGUAGAGGUGAAAUUCGUAGAUAUCGGGAGGAACACCGGUGGCGAAGGCGGCGACCUGGGUAGAUACUGACGCUGAGGUGCGAAAGCGUGGGGAGCAAACAGG
rnacentral:rRNA from 1 species